rnacentral:rRNA from 1 species
UACAGAGGUCUCAAGCGUUGUUCGGAUUCAUUGGGCGUAAAGGGUGCGUAGGCGGCGCGGUAAGUCGGGUGUGAAAUCUCGGAGCUUAACUCCGAAACUGCAUUCGACACUGCCGUGCUUGAGGACUGGAGAGGAGACUGGAAUUUACGGUGUAGCGGUGAAAUGCGUAGAUAUCGUAAGGAAGACCAGUGGCGAAGGCGGGUCUCUGGACCAGAACUGACGAUCAGGCACGAAAGCGUGGGGAGCAAACAGG